AACCACACUGUCCCAGCAUGCAGGCACAUGUUUCACAUGUAUAUAGUUGCCCUGUGAGCAUCACCAGCAUUACCCUUUUUAUUUCCUCCUUUUGUGUUAAUUAACUUGGUCAAACUUUUAUUUCAGAAAAUAUGCUGGUUCCAGUAAAAUACAAACAAUUACAGAAGUAUGUGAAGUUGGAGGAGGUUGACUACAUGCAAUUUCAUGAAAAAGUCAUGCUGCAGUCUGGAGGAGCAUCUCCGCAGCCAGCAGAGUCUGCAUCCAUACCUCCUCCCUGUUGGACGUCGGAAGAGCAAGAUUGACAGCUUCUACAUCACCAUGGAUAAGCAUCUCAUCCCAUGCCGGGCAAACCGCUCCCUCUGGGCAUUUGAUGAACUUUUCAAAGCACAUUUUGUGUUUAACA